UUUGAAAACCCCAAAACCUCACCGAUGCCCUAAUUUCUAUGAAGAAUCUCUCAUUCCAGAUCUCAAAUUCCAGAUCUCAAAACAUCUGUCAUUCCGGAUCUCGAACCAUCACCGAUGCCCUAAUUUCUAUGAAAUCGACUGAAAAUGUUCCAUAUAAUUUGGUUGGAUAGGAGUCGUGCGAGUGAACAUUGAAGAAUCUGAUAAAAGAGUGAAACCGAAGAUCCACAAUCUCUCUCUCUCUCAUCACUCAUACUGUUCUGCUCUUCGAUUCUAAACAAACCUCCAGUCAGCCAGAACCUUGAUGAUUUCUAUUUAUCUCUAGACGAUAGUGAAACACCACCAACCAAUAUCCGUAAAGAUGAGAGCAUUAUAAAUAUGGUUAUGCAUGUUGUGGUUAGCUAUAUUGGUAGAGUGUAUGUAAGUCCAAAGACGUAUCUUGUACAUCACGAACUGCUGAACUUCAUGCUCAUUGCUACUUCCACUCAGCUUCUUUUUGGGCCGUCACCCAGA